rnacentral:rRNA from 1 species
AGCAGCCGCGGUAAUUCCAGCUCCAAUAGCGUAUAUUAAAGUUGUUGCAGUUAAAAAGCUCGUAGUUGAAUUUCGGGAUCAAGUCGUCGGUCGUGCUCAGGUACGUACUGGCGUCAUUGAUUUCUCCCUUCUGACGAACCAUGAUGUCAUUAAUUUGGUGUUAUGGGAAAUCAGGACUGUUACUUUGAAAAAUUAGAGUGUUUAAAGCAGGCUCACGCUUGAAUACAUUAGCAUGGAAUAAUGAAAUAGGACGUUCGAUCCUAUUUUGUUGGUUUUAGGAUCAACGUAAUGAUUAAUAGGGAUAGUUGGGGGCAUUAGUAUUCAAUUGUCAGAGGUGAAAUUCUUGGAUUUAUUGAAGACUAACUACUGCGAAAGCAUUUGCCAAGGAUGUUUUCAUUAAUCAAGAACGAAAGUUAGGGGAUCGAAGACGAUCAGAUACCGUCGUAGUCUUAACCAUAAACUAUGCCGACUAGGGAUCGGAUGAUGUUAAUUUUUAAUGA